rnacentral:rRNA from 1 species
UACGUAGGGUGCGAGCGUUAUUCGGAAUUACUGGGCGUAAAGCGUGCGCAGGCGGUGAUGUAAGACAGUUGUGAAAUCCCCGGGCUCAACCUGGGAACUGCAUCUGUGACUGCAUUGCUGGAGUGCGGCAGAGGGGGAUGGAAUUCCGCGUGUAGCAGUGAAAUGCGUAGAUAUGCGGAGGAACACCGAUGGCGAAGGCAAUCCCCUGGGCCUGCACUGACGCUCAUGCACGAAAGCGUGGGGAGCAAACAGG